rnacentral:tRNA from 1 species
CGGGUCGUAGAUUGGGACUAAAGGCUCAUAACCUGAAGGUCAUAGGUUCAAAUCCUAUCCCCGCAACCA